GCGAGGGCGAACCACGUCCUCAGUGUAUGUAAACAUCAAGCUUUUGUUGCGUAUGUGUCAUUGUUUUGCAGUGCCUUGAUUUAAUUAUGUGACUGUCUUUCAGCAAGAGCCCGCGAAGAGGAGAAAAUGGAGAGAACCAAAUGGAGAGGACAUCUCAUCUUGCAAUGCUGACUAUGUUAAGUUCAAAACAAAGGCUUUUGAGGUUGACAAGCCCCUUGGAGAUGCAACAAGGGAUGCACAUUUUACUAUGGAGGUGCUCGGAAGCCUCCAAUCACGUUCAAGGGCGGAGCUUGUCGCCAUGGUGGUGAGUAUGCAGAGGGAGAUGGACGGCCUCCGAGAACAAAUCAGAAGCCUUACAGCUUGUGGGAAGUUGGCUCAGACACUUGAAGAGCUGAUUGAGAAGAGUGAUAGAUGGCUGUGCGGCAGCCAUGAAGCUGCAACUCCCAGCAUUCCAAGGGAGCUUGAGAGAAGCAGGCCACCCAGUCACAUUUCUCCUCCAAGGGUGCUUAGUGGAAGAGCAGCUGAAUGUGCAAGUUCAGAGCAGCAGGGGUGUGGUCAGUAUGAGGUCACACAAACAAUGCCUCAAAGGAAUGGAACGCUUCCCGAACAAAAAGUUAUCACUGCUGAUCUCCUGGAGCGCUGCAACACAGGGACCACCGCUCGACAUGCAUGCAAAGUCAAAAACAACUAUCAAUGUCUUAUAAUAUGCAUUUAUUUUUACCUUAUUUGCUCAACGACUCCCAAACGUUUUGCUCAACGAUUCAUUUUUCCAAACCCCUCUUUUGCAUGAUGUUAAUUUGCGGUGAUUGGUCCGAUUGGUCUCAUUGUCAUUUCAUCAUGCCUGUAAUGCCUGAUAAAGCAGCAUUUGUGAGCGCAGUGCUGCUUUGUGUACAGAGUUACUGGGGAAACAGCUAUUUUUACCUCUCCAAAAGCGGCACCUAGUGGCAAAGAAUGAAUUAGCAUUUUCAUUCAGACCUAUGCGAAAAUCGACUGAUGGUCAAAUUUUCCCGGGUCUGCGCGCGCAACAAGUUGGCGGGCAAUAUGCUAAUGUUUCAUGUUGACGUCAACAUGAAACGGCUUGGGAUUCGUUUUAAAAACGACUCGUUUCAAUGAUUCAGAGUCGACUCUUUUUUUUGAGAGACAAUAACUUUAUACACGGUGCACUUUCAGAUUUAAAACGUUGCAGGAUGUUUUCAUUCAUUUAGAGCUGUGUUACACACUGCAUGAAAGGUAAUUUUCAAAAAUCCAUAAUAGGGGCACUUUAAAUCUCUGCUUGUGCUGUACUUUGGGUUGCUUAUGACAUACAUUUGGGAACCAUUGUCAUGAAU
rnacentral:lncRNA from 1 species